rnacentral:rRNA from 1 species
GACAAACGCUGGCGGCAGGCUUAACACAUGCAAGUCGAGCGCCCCGCAAGGGGAGCGGCAGACGGGUGAGUAACGCGUGGGAAUCUACCCAUCUCUACGGAAUAACGCAUGGAAACGUGUGCUAAUACCGUAUACGUCCUUCGGGAGAAAGAUUUAUCGGAGAUGGAUGAGCCCGCGUUGGAUUAGCUAGUUGGUGGGGUAAAGGCCUACCAAGGCGACGAUCCAUAGCUGGUCUGAGAGGAUGAUCAGCCACACUGGGACUGAGACACGGCCCAGACUCCUACGGGAGGCAGCAGUGGGGAAUAUUGGACAAUGGGCGCAAGCCUGAUCCAGCCAUGCCGCGUGAGUGAUGAAGGCCCUAGGGUUGUAAAGCUCUUUCACCGGUGAAGAUAAUGACGGUAACCGGAGAAGAAGCCCCGGCUAACUUCGUGCCAGCCGCCGCAGUAAAAC